rnacentral:rRNA from 1 species
UUGGGGAUUUUGCACAAUGGGCGAAAGCCUGAUGCAGCAACACUGCGUGAAGGAUGAAGGUUUUCGGAUCGUAAACUUCUUUUAUGAGGGAAUAAUCUUGAAGGUACCUCAUGAAUAAGCACCGGCUAACUACGUGCCAGCAGCCGCGGUAAUACGUAGGGUGCAAACGUUAUCCGGAUUUAUUGGGCGUAAAGAGCUCGUAGGCGGAAUGGUAAGUUGGAUAUUAAAUCUCCCGGCUCAACUGGGAACAAGUAUCCAAAACUGCCAAUCUAGAGUGAUGCAGGGGAGAAUGGAACUUACGGUGUAGCGGUGGAAUGCGUAGAUAUCGUAAGGAACGCCAAUGGUGAAGACAGUUCUCUGGGCAUUUUCUGACGCUGAGGAGCGAAAGCGUGGGUAGCGAUCGGG